GAUGAACGCUGGCGGCGUGCUUAAUACAUGCAAGUCGAACGAAGAGCCUUUGCAGCAAUGCGAGGGUUUCUUAGUGGCGAACGGGUGCGUAACGCGUUGGUGACCUGCCCCAAAGUGUGGAAUAACAGUUCGAAAGGACUGCUAAUACCGCAUGUGGUCAUCGGGAUCAGAAGCCGAUGACUAAAGCAGUAAUGCGCUUUGGGAGGGACCUGCGUCCCAUCAGCUAGUUGGUGAGGUAAUGGCCCACCAAGGCUUCGACGGGUAGGGGACCUGAGAGGGUGGUCCCCCACACUGGCACUGAAACACGGGCCAGACACCUACGGGUGGCAGCAGUAGGGAAUAUUGGGCAAUGGGCGAAAGCCUGACCCAGCAACGCCGCGUGCACGAUGAAGGUCUUCGGAUCGUAAAGUGCUUUUCUGAGAGAUGAGAAAGGACAGUAUCUCAGGAAUAAGUCUCGGCUAACUACGUGCCAGCAGCCGCUGUAAUAC
rnacentral:rRNA from 1 species